UUUCUUUGAAAUCCUUCUCUUUAUCGGGUACCCUUGAAGUGUGGUACUUGACUGAUAGCAAUAGGCUUUCGUUUUCGGAACCUGUUCAUCACAUUUGGCCAAUAGAUAAUACGGGGUUUCCAUACCGGCCUUUCGACCUCAGGUAUUAGCCGUAUUUCAUUUCUUUAAUUGUGGGUUUUCCAUACUGGUCUUUCGACCUCAGGUAUUUGCCACCAUGUGUUGGGUCCGCCGGUCCCUCCCGCGUCCCUUGCCUACCCGACCAUCAAUCAAGUACCAUACUCCCAUUUUCAAAACAUCUUCUUUCAUAUCGCUAUGACUCAUCAAUCAUUCAAACAUCAUGAAGAACACGUAGCAAAAGUCACAUUAAAGAACACAUAAUUAGGUUCUUAUGAUGAGCAAAUGAAAGCUUCAACUUACCUCAAAAUCAAUAUGGUUUGUGAAGUAAAAGGAUCAGUCUUAGAUAAGGUGUGCUAAAAGCCUUGAUUACAGAUGAAUUCAAACUUCAAAACAUAGGAUUUUCAGCUAGAAAAGGUGAAGAACUUGUUCUAGCUAUACUUUUAUGAGUUCUUAGGGUUUGAUAUUCUCUUAUGUGAAUAUGGAAGUGAAGAAAUAAGAAGAGAAGCUUAAGUGAAUAGGUCUGGUCGUUUUGGAAGAAGACAAAUGAAAAUGAAGACCAAAACACAAAGUCUUCACUUAUCUACCCAUUCCCAACAAGGCCAAAUGGAGGGUGGUGAUUGGAAGGCUUGUAUUUGUUGGAUUCUUGUGGUUCCUCCACAUUUUUCUAGCUUGAGAUAAGAUAUGGGCUGAUGCUUACUCAUUAUAAUCAAGUGUAAACAAUUUGAGAAUGGUCUUGUGCAACCUAGUCAACCAACCAAUCAAAUUGCACCCUUUUGCAUACUUUGGUUUUAGUCUAAUAUGAGUUACUUCAAGUAAUUACAUAUGUAAUUAAUCAUAUAAAAAUGUAAUUAAAAUGCAGAACUGCAAUUAAGACAAAUAUAUCAGCGUUUAGCACAUUUUAAGAAAAGUAUUCGAUCACGUAUUAAAAACACAAUUAAGGUACAUGUGUAGCAAGUAGUCGUGAUCAUGCAUCAUGAAUAAUGAAUUAUAACUAUAUGCAUUGAUGCAAUAUGCUUAUUAUUGGCCAUGUACGGAUUAUUGGGCAUUACAAUCCUUCCCUCCUUAUAAAAUUUCGCCCUCAAAAUUUGACGUACCGAACAAUUCUGGAUAUUUGCUAUGCAUUUCUUCCUCUCUUUCCCACGUGGAUUCUUCAAUAGAUUGAUUUCUCCACAAUACCUUAACUAAUGGAAUCUUUUUAUUUCUCAGCUCCUUGACUUUUCGAUCAAUAAUUUGAAUUGGUUUCUCCUCAUAAGACAAAUCUGCAGAAAACUCUAACGGUUCAUAACUCAACACAUGAGAGGGAUUUGAAAUGUACUUCUUCAACAUAGACACAUGGAAAACAUUGUGAACACCAGAUAAUGAAGGAGGUAAGGCUACUCUAUAUGCUCUAUCACCAACUCUUUCAAGGAUUUCAAACGGACCAACAUAUCUUGGACUAAGUUUUCCUUUCUUUCCAAAUCUCAUGAUGCCUUUCAAUGGAGCCACUUUCAAAAAUACAUGGUCGCCAACUGUAAACUCUAGAUCUCUUCUUCGUUUAUCUGCAUAGCUUUUCUGUCUACUCUGUGCCAUCUUCAUUCUUUCCCUUAUCUUCUGUACCGUCUCAGCUGUAUGUUGCACCAUCUCUGGCCCAAGUAGACUUCUUUCGCCAACUUCAUCCCAAUGAACUGGAGAUCUACAUUUUCUCCCAUAUAGUGCUUCAUAAGGUGCCAUUCCAAUUGUAGAUUGAUAACUGUUAUUGUAAGUGAACUCUACCAAUGGAAGUUUUUCAUCCCAGCUCCCUUUCAAAUCUAGAACACAAGCUCUUAACAUAUCCUCAAGUAUUUGAAUAACUCUCUCGGAUUGUCCAUUAGUCUGUGGAUGAAAUGUUGUACUAAAUGCAAGCUUUGUCCCCAUAGCAUUGUGCAAACUCUUCCAAAAUGCAGAAGUAAACUUCGGAUCUCUAUCAGACACUAUUGACACUGGCACUCCAUGCAAUAACUACCUCUUUAAUAUAUUGUUGUGCAUAUUGCUCCAUGUUGAAUGUGGACUUCACUUAAAGAAAAUGGGUUGAUUUAGUUAGUCUAUCAACAAUCACCCAUAUGGAAUUGUUUCCCCUUUGUGUUCUAGGCAAUCCAAGCACAAAAUCCAUUGUAAUAUGCUCCCAUUUCCACUCUGGAAUCAGUAAAGGUUUCAAUAGUCCUGCUGGUCUUUGAUGUUCCAUUUUAACUUGUUGACAAGUGAGGCAUUCAGCCACAAACUUUGCUAUAUCUUUCUUCAUGUUAGGCCACCAGUAGUGUAGUUGUAAGUCUUUGUACAUUUUUGUGCUGCCCGGGUGCACUGAGUAAGGACUUCUGUGAGCUUCUUCCAAAAUGUCGCCCUUUAUGUUAGCAUCAAAAGGAACACACAAUCUGCCUUUAUAUCUAAUUAUUUCAUCGUUACCAAUAGAGAAGUUCGGCCUCUUCUUAGCAUCAAUCAUACUUCGCAACCUGGACAAAUACUUAUCCACUUUCUGGGCCUCUUUGAUUCGGUCAUGCAAUACGGGUUUUAAUACUAAAGAUGAUAAAGAACUAACCGUCCCUUUAGGUACAAUUUCAAGCUCUAACCUUUGUAAAUCCAGUAGUAUUGGUUUCUGUAUAACAAGGAAGGAAGACAUAGAUUUUCUACUCAAUGCAUCUGCAGCCACAUUAGCUUUACCAGGAUGAUAGUUAAUCAAACAGUCAUAAUCCUUCACAAGUUCUAACCAUCUUCGCUGUCUCAUAUUCAAUUCUUUCUGAGUGAAGAAGUACUUCAAGCUCUUGUGAUCCGUGUAAAUCUCACAUUUCUCACCAUAUAGGUAAUGCCUCCAAAUUUUCAAGGCAAACACAACGGCAGCAAGCUCUAAAUCAUGAGUUGGUUAAUUCUUCUCAUACUCCUUCAAUUGUCUUGAAGCAUAGGAGAUAACAUUCCCAUGCUGCAUCAAUACAGCACCCAAUCCAUUUUUUGAAGCAUCACUAUACACUACGAAUCCACCAGUUCCAGAAGGAAUGACGAGAACAGGAGCUGUAGUACAUCUCCGUUUCAACUCUUGAAAGCUACUUUCACAUGCAUCAGUCCAUACAUACUUCACGUUCUUUCGCGUAAGCAUUGUUAAUGGAGUUGCUAUCUUGGAAAACCCCUGAACAAAUCUUCGAUAAUAUGCUGCCAAUCCUAAGAAACUUCUAACCUCUGAUACAGUUGUUGGUGUUGGCCAAUUUUUGACAGCUUCUAUCUUACUCGGGUCGACAGAAAUACCAUUCUUGGACACGACAUGCCCUAGGAAUACAACUUGAUCAAGCCAAAACUCGCACUUCUUAAAUUUAGCAUAUAGUUGCCUUUCUUUCAAUAUUUGCAACACCACUCUCAAAUGUUCUCUAUGUUCGUCUUUAUCAUGGGAAUAGAUCAAUAUAUCAUCAAUGAACACAAUCACAAAUUUGUCGAGGAACUCCUUGAACACCCUAUUCAUCAAAUCCAUAAAAGAUGCGGGGGCAUUUUGUAACGCCCCACAACCUAACAGCAGAAUCCAAUCGGAUCACCACCAUUAAGUUAGGGAUGCUAACCUUUUACAUAUUUACUUGAACAUUAUGGUUUUAAUACAAAAAUAAAUAAUAUGCUUUGAAAAGAAAUCAAACUCUGUACUUUCUCGAAAUCUGUACAUAUAUAGAUAUAUAUUGUUUACAAAAUUACUUUGUACAACAACCAUAAUAGAGCGGCUAACAAAAUCAAAUCAGAGUUUCUAGCUCGGCUACAAAAAUGGCGCGAAGCAUGGCAUAUGAACAAAACUCUGUCUGGCCGCUCUUGGCUAGGUCAACUUCUAAACAUGUACAUCAUUACCUGCAUCAUAAGGACCUAAUGAGCUAAAAGCUCAGCAAGUUGUAACUGAUGUAAUAACAAUCUAUCACAUAACACGUUAUUCAUUCAAUAUGUACAAUAUCACAUAUAACUUCAUUCGUGAUCCUUUUCUUUGAAAUCCUUCUCUUUAUCGGGUACCCUUGAAGUGUGGUACUUGACUGAUAGCAAUAGCCUUUCGUUUUCGGAACCUGUUUAUCAUAUUUGGCCAAUAGAUAAUACGGGGGUUUCCAUACCAGCCUUUCGACCUCAGGUAUUAGCCGUAUUUCAUUUCUUUAAUUGUGGGUUUUCCAUACUGGUCUUUCGACCUCAGGUAUUUGCCACCAUGUGUUGGGUCCGCCGGUUCCUCCCGCGUCCCUUGCCUACUCGACCAUCAAUCAAGUACCAUACUCCCAAUUUCAAAACAUAUUCUUUCAUAUCACUAUGACCCAUCA
rnacentral:lncRNA from 1 species